rnacentral:rRNA from 1 species
UACGGAGGGUGCUAGCGUUGUUCGGAAUUACUGGGCGUAAAGCGCACGUAGGCGGCUUUGUAAGUUAGAGGUGAAAGCCCGGGGCUCAACUCCGGAAUUGCCUUUAAGACUGCAUCGCUAGAACGUCGGAGAGGUAAGUGGAAUUCCGAGUGUAGAGGUGAAAUUCGUAGAUAUUCGGAAGAACACCAGUGGCGAAGGCGACUUACUGGACGACCGUUGACGCUGAGGUGCGAAAGCGUGGGGAGCAAACAGG